rnacentral:rRNA from 1 species
GUGCUUAAACAUGCAAGUCGAACGAACCUUCGGGUUAGUGGCGGACGGGUGAGUAACGCGUGGGAAUCUGCCCUCAGGAGGGGGAUAACGGCCGGAAACGACCGCUAAUACCCCAUAUGCCGAGAGGUGAAAUGAAUUUCGCCUGAGGAUGAGCCCGCGUCUGAUUAGCUAGUUGGUGAGGUAAGAGCUCACCAAGGCAUCGAUCAGUAGCUGGUCUGAGAGGAUGAUCAGCCACACUGGGACUGAGACACGGCCCAGACUCCUACGGGAGGCAGCAGUGGGGAAUUUUCCGCAAUGGGCGAAAGCCUGACGGAGCAACGCCGCGUGAGGGAUGAAGGCCUCUGGGCUGUAAACCUCUUUUAUCAAGGAAGAAGAUCUGACGGUACUUGAUGAAUAAGCCACGGCUAAUUCCG